ACAUAGUCUAAUCUGCCCACUGAAUUAAUUUUUAAAGGGCCGCGGUAUUUUGACCGUGCAAAGGUAGCAUAAUCAAUAGUCUUUUAAUUGAAGACUGGAAUGAAUGAUUGAAUGAGAAAUUUACUAUUUGAUAGAUAAAAAUUGAAUUUUACUUUUAAGUGAAAAGGCUUAAUUAAUUUAAGGUGACGAUAAGACCCUAUAAAACUUUAUUACAAUAUAAUAGAAAUAAAAAUAUAAAUAAUAUAUUUAUAUUAUAUUAUAAUUUAAUUGGGGCGAUUGAGAUAUAAUAAGUAACUGUUUUUAUGAUUAUAUAAUUAUAAUUAGAUUAUGAUCCUUUUUAUGGAUUAGAAGGCUAAGUUACUUUAGGGAUAACAGCGUGAUUUUUCUAGAGAGUUCAUAUCGAUAGAAGUAGUUGCGACCUCGAUGUUGAAUUAAAUUUUCUUUUAGGUGUAGCAGCUUAGAUAGUAGGUCUGUUCGACCU
rnacentral:rRNA from 1 species